UGUCCAGUUGCAGGUUGGUGACAAGUGGUGUUCCUCAGGGGUCAGUAAAGCUGUUUAACAGCUGUUUAACAGUUUUAUCAGCCAACACGGACAGUGGGAUCGAGUGCACCCCCAGCAAGUUCACUGACAACACAAAGCUGUGUGGUGAGGUCAAUAUGAUGGAGGGAAGGGUCGCCAUCCACGGGGACCCUGACAGGCUUGAGAGGUUAAAGCUCUAUAGACAGGAAAACAUGCUAGCUGCUGCUGGGUUUGUUUCUAGCGUAUACAAGCAGAAGAGGAAUGGAAAACAAGUGGAUACAAAUAAAAUUUCAAAGGCCUGAAGGA